UACGGAGGGGGCUAGCGUUGUUCGGAAUUACUGGGCGUAAAGCGCGCGUAGGCGGACCUGCAAGUCGGGGGUGAAAUCCUGGAGCUCAACUCCAGAACUGCCUUCGAUACUGGAAAGCUCGAGUCCGGGAGAGGUGAGUGGAACUGCGAGUGUAGAGGUGAAAUUCGUAGAUAUUCGCAAGAACACCAGUGGCGAAAGGCGGCUCACUGGCCCGGUACUGACGCUGAGGUGCGAAAGCGUGGGGAGCAAA
rnacentral:rRNA from 1 species